rfam:Lactobacillus capillatus DSM 19910 NODE_111, whole genome shotgun sequence.
GCCGACUUAGCUCAGUUGGUAGAGCAUCUGAUUUGUAAUCAGAGGGUCGGGCGUUCGAAUCGUCUAGUCGGCA